rnacentral:rRNA from 4 species
GAAGUUUUCAGAGAUGAGAAUGUGCCUUCGGGAACCGUGAGACAGGUGCUGCAUGGCUGUCGUCAGCUCGUGUUGUGAAAUGUUGGGUUAAGUCCCGCAACGAGCGCAACCCUUAUCCUUUGUUGCCAGCGGUCCGGCCGGGAACUCAAAGGAGACUGCCAGUGAUAAACUGGAGGAAGGUGGGGAUGACGUCAAGUCAUCAUGGCCCUUACGACCAGGGCUACACACGUGCUACAAUGGCGCAUACAAAGAGAAGCGACCUCGCGAGAGCAAGCGGACCUCAUAAAGUGCGUCGUAGUCCGGAUUGGAGUCUGCAACUCGACUCCAUGAAGUCGGAAUCGCUAGUAAUCGUGGAUCAGAAUGCCACGGUGAAUACGUUCCCGGGCCUUGUACACACCGCCCGUCACACCAUGGGAGUGGGUUGCAAAAGAAGUAGGUAGCUUAACCUUCGGGAGGGCGCUUACCACUUUGUGAUUCAUGACUGGGGUGAAGUCGUAACAAGGUAACCGUAGGGGAACCUGCGGUUGGAUCAC